CCAAAACCCACUUCCGCAUUGCAUGUUGGCGGGAGAUGACCCGGAAGUGAUGCUUCGUCUCAAGGGACCGUUGUGUUUGACGCGUCACAAGAGCUCGUUUGUGUUUAUGUUCGACACCUGAGCAGGUGUCCUCGUUCGACCGCUCUUCAACAUCCUCCUCUGGUUUUGCAAAAGCAGAAGCGUCCCGCAUUACUGCUGCAUUCUGGUAGUCGCUCGGUAUCUGGUCGAUCAUGUUAUGAUAAAGCUGAAAGAGGAAGGAGCUCUCUCAGCUACAUGUAUGAGUCGGAUAGGUGUUCUCUUCCUAAUAAGUUGGUCGGACAUAUAAGACAUAAUUUUGGAGAACGAGGGCCGGUUGCCGGGCAUCAAGGCCCAGCACUUGCACAUGAUGCCGUACCUGCAAAGGACUCGCUAUGAAACAAUCUGAUUGGAGGCACACUAAAGACUAAGAACACCUACACAGACUCAUCAGCGUAGUAAGGACAUUCCAUCUUAAGUCCUCUCUCGAUCAUCGAGUAGAACGUGUGGUCCACCUUCAUGCCCGGGUGCUUGUGUGUGAGGCGAUACCGAGAGAGAAGAUCUCCCACAGGAGGAUACCGUACGCCCACACGUCGCUCUUCAUGGUGUACAUCCCCUCGAAGAUGCUCUCCGGCGCCAUCCACUUGACGGGCAGACGCACCUGUGAUGCGUUGGAGUCGUUGUCGAUGUCCCGAGCCAAUCCAAAGUCCCCGAUUUUUACCAGUCGCCCUUUUGUCACCAACACGUUUCGAGCUGCCAGGUCACGAUGGAUACACUACAAACACACACACACACACACACACACACACACACGUAUAUGCAUAAGCAGCCAAGUUAGACCCUACUUCAGUGGUUCUCAAGCCUUUUUCACCGAGUACCACCUCAGAAAAAACCUGUCUCUCCAAGUACCAUCGUAAUGACCCACAUUAAAAUACAGUAGCAUAGUAAAUUAAAUUAGAAACAAGGCAGAGGUUUUAUUUGACAAGUCUAUUUAAUAUGGUUGGCUUCUGUAACAUUACACACACUUUGAACAGUAACACUGUGUUUGAAUAUUUAAUUAAGUAAUUUUUGGCGUACCAUUAGAUGGAGUACACGUACCACAGUUUGAGAAUAACUGCCCUACAGGAUGUGCAGCCUGACAUAAAUGUUCAUGAAGUCAAAUAUAAUGGUUUAUACUGUACAUUCACGUACAUGAAAUGUGUGUCACACUUACAGAGAACACUUGAAUGACAAGUUUGUAAAAUCCCAGGCCGAUGAAAUAAACCACAAAACUUGACUUUUGCCGCAACUUUGUGGAAAAAAAAACGUGCCGUGAAAUAAGGCUUAUUUAGGUUGCAACAAUCACCAAAAAAAGCCAGCGAAAUCCUCCAAUAUCAGCACAUUUACGUAUGUGCAUGCUAUUCAUUGUUUUUUUGACUAACUCAUCUGGCACUUUAUGUUGCUUUAAACUGGGAGGAUGUCGCAACAAUAACUAACUAUAAAAUAGGUAUAUAAUAUACACACAAUUGAGAUGGUUUGUUUAUUUUCUAUGCAGAAAAAAAUGUCUGUCCCACUUGUAUAUGGAGAGAAGUUUGUGUCUUUUUAUGCAAGCAACCAAAAAAAAUGUACUUGCAAAAAAAUAUGAUUUGUAACCCCAAAAGAUUUGAUUUAUAACCCCCAAAAAUUGAUUUGCAACCAAAAAAUGAUUUGUUACACAAAACAAUUGAUUUGCAACAUCAAUUUUUUUUAUUUGCAAACAAAAAAUGUAUUUGCAAACCCCUAACCCAAAAAAAAUAGAUGCGCAAACAAAAAGAAAAUAAUUAGCAAACAAAAAAUGUAUUUGCAACCCAAAGAAAGGAUUUGUAAUAAAAAAAUGGAUUUGAAAAAAAACAACUAUUUGCAACCCGAAACAAUGGAUCUGCGAACAACAAAUUUGAUUUCCAACCCAAAAAAUAUAUUUGCAACCAAAAAGACUUCUAACUCCGAAAAAAGAUUUGCAAACAAUAAACUGGAUGUAAAUAAAAAAUGGUAUUUGCAACCCAAAAAGAAAACUAUUUACAAACUUUAAAAAAAAUGUUGCAACCCAAAAAAAUUGCAAACAAAAUGGAUCAGCAAACAAUAAAUUUGAUUUGCAACCCAAAACAAUAGAUUUACAACCCAAACAAGACUUACAAACCCCAAAAUGGAUUUGCAAAGAAGAAACUGGAUUUUUAAAUAAGAAAUGCAUUUGAAAAAAAAAUUAUUUGCAAACCAAAAAUUGAUUUGCAACCAAAAACAUGAUUUUCUAACUAAGAAAAUGGAUUUGAAAACAAGAAAAAGAUUUUCUAACUAAGAAAAUUUGAUUUUCCAAAAAAAAAGUGAUUUUCCAAAAAUUAAUUUGAUUUGUAAACAAAAAGUUUGAUUUGCAAACAAGAAGUUGUAACCCAAACAAUGGAUUUUUAAACCAGAAAUAGAUUUAAAAUUUCAAAAUCUUGGUGGUUGCAGAAAUUUUUUUAGGGGGGUUGAAUUUUUUUGUGUGUGGUUAAGACUCAACUUCAAUCUUGUGGACAGGGCUUCCUCUGUCCUUAGUCGAAGACGGCCCCAAUUACUCAGUGUUUUACUCAGGUGCUUACGUUUUUGGAGGCGAGGAACGCCAUUCCUUUAGCCACUUGGAAAGCAAAGCUCAGGAGGUCAUCGAAAGUUAGGGCCUGCAGGUCUUCCGUGUCGUUGUUGUUGUUGUCGCUUUCUGGAUCAGUCACGAUCAACAGUGAGCUCCUAUUGUGUUGUUAAACGUGUUGCGUUGUAUCAGAAGCUGUCCUCUCACCUUCAUUCCAGUCCACGUCCUCCAAGCUGUGAUGGAGGAGAGCCUUGUCUUCCUGUCCCCCCGAGGAAGCGAGUUGCAUUAGCAUGUAUCUGUCCAUGCUGCCCUCCUGCACACUGACAUCACACAACACACUACAAUCAAUCUUAGAAUCAACUUUUUUUCAGCACACUUCAUGUUCACUAGAUCCUCGCCUAUCUGCUUUCAGCACAUUCUUAUCUCAGCUUGAAUUGGAAAUAAUGUGUUUUUUGGAGUAACCUAAAUAGAAAGUGGUUUGAUGGUGCUCUCUGCAGGGGAAAAAGAACACUGCAGCUAUGAAUCCAACAGAGGGCGCUGUCCCACACGUCACUCCACUCAACAUUUUCCAUCAGGAAGAUGCUUUAACAAGACCUAAUGUUGUAUCACUGCAAGUUUCCUAAGUUCAAUAUUGCAUAUGUAUGCUUGUAAUUGUUUCUUCAUGUGUAAACUGUGUUUAAUAAUUGUGACAGAGGUUUACAUAAUAGGACUUUUUAGGACUUGUAAUGGGUGCGUCCAUCAUUCUGCGUUUUUGCGCCGUUGGAUCGUAACCCCUCCACUAAAUCCACUGUGGUGCCUACCGAGAACGUUUGGUCGGUGUCGGGUUGUUGUAAAGGUUGCUGAAGCGCUCCUCUGUAAACGCCUGUGCCGCAAACUUGUGGUAACGCCGGCUGCUGUUCUUAAGGAAGUUGAGCAGAUCUCCAUGGCAGCAGAACUGGAAUAUCAGGUAUAUGGGUCCUGCAUGGGAGGGACAUAAUGCUUGUUUGCAGAACCAUGCCUUAUGGCUGAAUUCCGUCCGAAAACCGGCGUGUCAAGAUGUUCCAACAGAAAUUCAAACUUGUAUAUUCUGACUGUGAGGCCGACACUGAAUUAGCAGUGGUUGUGUGGACAUACCCGUGUCCGUGCACGCUCCGAGCAGGUUGACAAUGUUGGCAUGGUUACCAAUGUGAGUCAGCAUCUUUAGUUCGGACAUCAGAGCCUCUUUCUCCACCUCCUGGUGUUUCUCUGCAUGGCAGAACGAGCGGACAAGGCUGAUCUUACUGCGUCUUUGCAAUUAGUCUCUCACUGAGCCAAGCGCACACUAACCUUUCAGCAUCUUGACGGCCACCUGCUGUGACACUCCGGCCUUGUUGAUGCCGUACGCUGUGGCAUGGACCACCAUGCCGAAAGCGCCAGAGCCCAGUUCCUUGCCUGGGAAGGACACGGGUGCUGUAGUCGUGAGAACCGUCACAAUAACUCCAAGAACUGAUGGAUUUACUCAAACCUAAUUCCAGGUUUUCUCUGGGAAAUUCCCAUUUGCGUUCAUACUCAAAGUCCUUGAAGUUCAUGUAGACAUAGUCAUUAUCAUUGGGCCCGACCAUCUGGAUCAUCUGGAGCUGGGGCUGGUACUGAGGUUUCUGUUGGACAAUUUAGGUCAGUCAUUGCCUCUUGUGCUUCGGUACGAGAACAUGCCCACGUCUAACCUUCUUUUUGACAAAGUACACGAGCCCCACGCUGACUACGACCAAAGCCACAAUCAGGAUCACGCUACCCACUUUCAGCACCAUGAAGCCAGCCUUCUCCGCAUCUGAAGCUCCUGAAACACGCAGUGUGUGUGUGUGAAAGUGUGCACAGUUGCUGAAAGUCCAGUUUUUAUGGUGGAACAAACCUCUGGAGGCUGCCGGGUCGUAGACCAAGUCUCUCACGGUGCACCAGGAUCCCACAGAGUUAGCCAGGCAGAAUUUCAAAUAGCCUCCGUCAAAAAGGUCCGUACUGAUGGAGCUCUCUAUCGUCUUCUCACACCGCACGUCCGAGUCGCUCUGCGAGGCGUUGGGAACAUGUUUCCACACAGAGUGACUGUCACAGCUGCAGAGAGUUGAGGUGUCAUGGAGGAAAUCAAGGCAUGUGUACAGUUGCAGUCCCACCUUUCGUUGGCAGAGACACACGACAUCCACGUGUAAUUUGCCGGCACCGCGCUCGCCGUUUUGAUCCGGAUGGUGUUGUCCCCGUCAAGGCUGAAUCUGAACUUGGGGUCGUCUGCGAUAAAGAGAAUACGGUGAAGCUUGCUGUCCGGAAUUAUGACACUGAAAUGAGUCCGGUGUCUUACCUACAACACACACAGACACAGACUUGCUCUGGUUUUGUCCGCCUGCCUUCAGGUGUAGCUUGUACUCUCCUGAUUUUAGUUUACCACACAGCUUCACCGUCCUGAAAAAAACUUUAAUACUCAUAACUGAUUACCUCCACCAAGGAGCAUAUACAUUGUUCCCUCACCACUUGGCGGGUCACUUGCUAAGACUAUGUUUACUCUACAGGCCAAAGUGACCAAAUCUGAUUUUUUUUCCAGCUGACUGCAAGUAAAACGAGAUCUUUAUCAGACUACAGUAUCAACGCACACAGGCCCCAAUGUGGCCUCGACGUCCCUUGCAUGCGCAGUUUGAUAAAGUGACAACAAAGAAAUUUGACCGGAUCCUGUAAAUGAACAAGGAAGUCGCUACUACUACUACAAAAUAAUAUAAAAGUUGCCACACCUUUAAAAAUGAGUGUUUCUUACAUGAAAAUAAUUUAAAGUAAUAUAAUGUAUAAAUAAAUAUAAAUCUAGUGUAAUAUAUUUUGGAGUGUUCUAAUCUUUUUAUGGCUUUUAAGUAGAGGCGUCACAGACAUCAGCGUGGAUCUACGUUUGCUUUAUUUUUUGACCCACUUACGUAAAAAAACUUAGGCAAUUUGCGCAACCCAUAAGCAAAUACGGGACAGCGUACACAUCAAUUCCGGUCUUUCAACAAUCGCUAUUUGUUUGGAAUCAAAGUAUAUAGUAUAGACAUAUAGUCUAUUAUUUGCGCACUAUUGACGAGUGAUGCACCGAAAAUUUGGCCGCUGGGGGCUGCGUCUUUUUCCACACACACGAAAGGACGUAGCUUAAAUCAGUGUCCAUAACUUGGCAAAAAUUCAGCUACCCGUGGGUCUGGUACAUAAAUAAUCGAGUGAACAAUGUAUAGUUUUUUCCACAUUCCCGAAAUUUAGUAAAACUGCACUAUACUAUGAAAAUUGCAGCAAGAUACAUAAAACAUGUAUAUAUGGCAAAAACUAUUAAAAUAUUUUUAAAAUAAUUUAAACAUUUAUUUCAUACAUUUCAUCCAAACUGAAAAUUACUUGUCUUUCAGAUUAGGUUGAAAAUGUUUGUUUGUUUACUACAACAUUUGGUCUUCUUGGUCCUAUUCACUUAUACAAUCUUUUAACUGUGAGGAUACGCAAUGAUAUUUGUUCCCUUUUUCGUUGCCUACACUGUCACUGUUUGUUUUUUCAGUUGCUGUACCUUUUGCUCCUACUUCCGCACCAAGAGUGGAACUAACCUGUGUUUGGUCACCCAGUUGUCCUUCAUGCAUGGGGACAUAUUCCCAUCAGGAGCCUCCCAGGCGCAGUACUGCAGCACGGGGUGGUACAACAC